rnacentral:rRNA from 1 species
AUUAGAGGUCUCGCCUGCCCUGUGACCCCCAAGUUUAACGGCCGCGGUAUACUGACCGUGCGAAGGUAGCGUAAUCAUUUGUCUUUUAAAUGGAGACCUGUAUGAAUGGCAUCACGAGGGUUCCACUGUCUCCCUUCCCCCGUCAAUGAAAUUGAUCUCCCCGUGCAGAAGCGGGCAUAAGAACAUAAGACGAGAAGACCCUAUGGAGCUUUAGACAAGAGACCACCCAUGUAAAGACGCCUUUAAACCCAAUUAGGGCUCUACGGGCUAAAAACUAACUGUACGCUGGUCCGAAUGUCUUCGGUUGGGGCGACCCUGGGGGAAAAACUAGCCCCCAAGAGGAACAGGGGCAACCCCUGAACCAAGAGAGACACCUCUAAGAAGCAGAAAAUCUGGCCACAAAUGACCCAGGGCGCGGCCCUGAUCAACGAACCAAGUUACCCUAGGGAUAACAGCGCAAUCCCCUCCCAGAGCCCAUAUCGACAAGGGGGUUUACGACCUCGAUGUUGGAUCAGGACAUCCUAAUGGUGCAGCCGCUAUUAAGGGUUCGUUUGUUCAACGAUUAACAGUCC